rnacentral:tRNA from 1 species
GCCGAUGUGGUGGAAUUGGUAGACACGCUGUCUUGAGGGGGCAGUAGCGNAAGCUGUGCCGGUUCGAGUCCGGCCAUCGGCA